rnacentral:rRNA from 1 species
UACGAAGGGGGCUAGCGUUGCUCGGAAUCACUGGGCGUAAAGGGUGCGUAGGCGGGUCUUUAAGUCAGGGGUGAAAUCCUGGAGCUCAACUCCAGAACUGCCUUUGAUACUGAGGAUCUUGAGUUCGGGAGAGGUGAGUGGAACUGCGAGUGUAGAGGUGAAAUUCGUAGAUAUUCGCAAGAACACCAGUGGCGAAGGCGGCUCACUGGCCGAUACUGACGCUGAGCACGAAGCGUGGGAGCAAACAGG